GACGAACGCUGGCGGCGUGCUUAACACAUGCAAGUCGAACGGAAAGGCCCUGCUUUUGUGGGGUGCUCGAGUGGCGAACGGGUGAGUAACACGUGAGUAACCUGCCCUUGACUUUGGGAUAACUUCAGGAAACUGGGGCUAAUACCGGAUAGGAGCUCCUGCUGCAUGGUGGGGGUUGGAAAGUUUCGGCGGUUGGGGAUGGACUCGCGGCUUAUCAGCUUGUUGGUGGGGUAGUGGCUUACCAAGGCUUUGACGGGUAGCCGGCCUGAGAGGGUGAACGGCCACAUUGGGACUGAGAGACGGCCCAGACUCCUACGGGAGGCAGCAGGGGGGAAUAUUGCACAAUGGGCGGAAGCCUGAUGCAGCAACGCCGCGUGCGGGAUGACGGCCUUCGGGUUGUAAACCGCUUUCGCCUGUGACGAAGCGUGAGUGACGGUAAUGGGUAAAGAAGCACCGGCUAACUACGUG
rnacentral:rRNA from 1 species